rnacentral:rRNA from 1 species
AAAAUGACUCUCGGCAACGGAUAUCUCGGCUCUCGCAUCGAUGAAGAACGCAGCGAAAUGCGAUACUUGGUGUGAAUUGCAGGAUCCCGUGAACCAUCGAGUCUUUGAACGCAAGUUGCGCCCGAAGCCUUUUGGCCGAGGGCACGUCUGCCUGGGUGUCA